UACGUAGGGGGCUAGCGUUGUCCGGAAUCAUUGGGCGUAAAGCGCGUGUAGGCGGUCCGGUAAGUCCGCUGUGAAAGUCGGGGGCUCAACCCUCGAAUGCCGGUGGAUACUGUCGGGCUAGAGUGCGGAAGAGGCGAGUGGAAUUCCAGGUGUAGCGGUGAAAUGCGUAGAGAUCUGGAGGAACACCGAUGGCGAAGGCAGCCUUCUGGGCCAACACUGACGCUCAUGCACGAAAGCGUGGGGAGCAAACAGG
rnacentral:rRNA from 1 species